rnacentral:misc_RNA from 1 species
GAUGAAGAACGCAGCGAAAUGCGAUAAGUAAUGUGAAUUGCAGAAUUCAGUGAAUCAUCGAAUCUUUGAACGCACAUUGCGCCCGCCAGUAUUCUGGCGGGCAUGCCUGUUCGAGCGUCAUUACAACCCUCAGGCCCCCGGGCCUGGCGUUGGGGAUCGGCGGAAGCCCCCUGCGGGCACAACGCCGUCCCCCAAAUACAGUGGCGGUCCCGCCGCAGCUUCCAUUGCGUAGUAGCUAACACCUCGCAACUGGAGAGCGGCGCGGCCACGCCGUAAAACACCCAACUUCUGAAUGCUGACCUCGAAUCAGGUAGGAAUACCCGCUGAACUUAAGCAUAUCAAUAAGCGGAGGA